UGUCAGCUUUGAGCGGAGUUGGAAGCAAUGACGUCGGUCUGGUGCGAGCAGAUGUCUCUGUCCUUUUAAUGACACCCAGAAAUGGUUUGCUGUAGGUGCUGGAUGCCAUCGAGCAGCGCUCGUACUUGCGUGGGAAGGAGAAGGAAGGAGGACACGAGAGUAGGAGAUUCUGGUGGGCUGGGAGCACGGGACAAUGCUGCUGGAAGGAAUGUGAGCCACGGAGCAUGGUUGGUGCCACAGCUAUCCAGGUGCUGAGAGCUGUCUGCAAAGGGCUUUGUCGAUGAGGGAAGGAAUUGGCUGGGACUGGAGAGCACAGAGCAGUUCCUGACACGCUUCACCAUGCGCAAAGGGGUGCCAAAGGACCCAGAGAUUGCUGACCUCUUCUACAAAGAUGAUCCUGAGGAAAUCUUCGUGGGUUUGCAUGAAAUUGGACAUGGAAGCUUUGGAGCAGUUUACUUUGUAAGUAGAGUUGGUUCUUUUUUUUGGAGAACAGAAUAAUUUCAAGUGAUGUUUUGGAGGCUUUUGAGCAUUUGUAGAAGGAGGUGUUCCUU
rnacentral:lncRNA from 1 species